ensembl:lncRNA
CCUUGCUUACAUUUGUAUACAAUUCCAUAUUUAUCUCUAUUAUGAGUAGGAAUAAAUUGGAACAGAUUUCCAAUAUUAAAAUCACGUUUCUUUGGGGGGUGGAGUGGGAAAUAAAAACCAUCCAUUGGCCACAAGUUGGGGAACCCUGAUGUAUAGUAUUAUAGUAGGUUAGGUGAAUUGACAUGGCAGGUUAGGUUAGGUGAAUUGACAUGGCAGGUUAGGUGAAAUGACAUGGCAGGUUAGGUUAGGUGAAUUGACAUAGCAGGUUAGGUUAGGUGAAUUGACAUAGCAGGUUAGGUGAAUUGACAUAGCAGGUUAGGUGAAUUGACAUAGCAGGUUAGGUGAAUUGACAUAGCAAGUUAGGUGAAUUGACAUAGCAGGUAAGGUGAAUUGACAUAGCAGGUAAGGUGAAUUGACAUAGCAGGUAAGGUGAAUUGACAUAGCAGGUUAGGCUAGGUGAAUUGAUAUAGCAGGUUAGGUGAAUUGACAUAGCAGGUUAGGUGAAUUGACAUGGCAGGUUAGGUGAAUUGACAUGGCAGGUUAGGUGAAUUUAUAUAGCAGGUUAGGUGAAUUUAUAUAGCAGGUUAGGUGAAUUGACAUAGCAGGUUAGGUGAAUUGACAUGGCAGGUUAGGUGAAUUGACAUAGCAGGUAAGGUGAAUUGACAUAGCAGGUUAGGUGAAUUGACAUGGAAGGUUUGGUGAAUUGACAAGGCAGGUUAGGUGAAUUGACAUGGCAGGUUAGGUGAAUUGACAUGGCAGGUUAGGUUAGGUGAAUUGAUAUAGCAGGUUAGGUGAAUUGACAUGGAAGGUUUGGUGAAUUGACAUAGCAGGUAAGGUGAAUUGAUAUAGCAGGUUAGGUGAAUUGACAUAGCAGGUUAGGUGAAUUGACAUAGCAGGUUAGGUGAAGUGGUAUAGCAGGUUAGGUGAAUUGACAUGGCAGGUUAGGUUAGGUGAAUUGACAUGGAAUGUUUGGUGAAUUGACAUAGCAGGUAAGGUGAAUUGACAUGGAAGGUUAGGUGAAUUGACAUGGCAGGUUAGGUGAAUUGACAUGGAAGGUUAGGUGAAUUGACAUAGCAGGUUAGGUGAAUUGACAUGCCAGGUUAGGGGAAUUGACAUGGCAGGUUAGGUGAAUUGACAUAGCAGGUUAGGUGAAAUGACAUAGCAGGUUAGGUGAAUUGACAUAGCAGGUUAGGUGAAUUGACAUAGCAGGUUAGGUGAAUUGAUA